rnacentral:sRNA from 1 species
UAAAGCCACGUAAUAACUGCUGAUUAGAUAAUGCGAAACGUGCUUGAAUUUAUGCUUACACUUCUAAAUAAGUCUUGAUAAAUCAAUAUUUAUUGAUGUUACAAGGCUUUAUUUCUUCAGUUUUCAUCACGUUUAACUAGUAAUAGUGACCUUUGAAUAACUCUGUGUUUUCAUUAAAUCGUAGUGUUCAUUUACUUUGUCACUAAUUUCGCAUAACAUAUAUUAUGUUAAAUAAAAUAAAUGGUAAGUCACUUCUGGGAAUUUGAGGUUUGCUCUCUUUAAAAAUGACUGGGUAAAAAAAUUUAUUUCUUGAAGAUUUGAUUUUUUGAGCGUUUAUGAUGAUGAGAUAUUCGUGAGUUUUUAGAGGUAGGUGAAAAUACUUCUCUAGCUGAAUCUAGGUUUAUAAAAAUCGACUGAUAUUCAUAGAGGGUUUUUAUCGUUAUGUACAUCCUUCCGUUUCCAUUAAAUAAUCUCUUAACAAUUUAGUUACAAUUGAGAAUUUAUUUCAGUAACACUACUUAAAUGAGAAUUGUUGUUAUUAUAAAAUUCAUUUUAAAUUAAACACUUACUAAGAUAUUUUAUGAGAAUUUGAUUGACUAUUCUCAAUAAGGUGAAUAAAAUGCGCACAACAAAUUAAGUUGUAUUGCGAUCUAUUAACAAAUUAAGGAAAGGAGUUGGUU